UGGAGAGAGGCUGGCCACAGCCCACCGAAGGGGCACGCGGCAUCAGGCCGUAAACUCUCAGGUAAAAGAACAAGGGGA
rnacentral:ncRNA from 1 species